ensembl:piRNA 21ur-11367 ncRNA
UUUAUUCUCCAUCUAAGCCAU